GAAAUGCGAUAAGUAAUGUGAAUUGCAGAAUUCAGUGAAUCAUCGAAUCUUUGAACGCACAUUGCGCCCGCCAGUAUUCUGGCGGGCAUGCCUGUCCGAGCGUCAUUUCAACCAUCAAGCCCCCGGGCUUGUGUUGGGGACCUGCGGCUGCCCGCAGGCCCUGAAAACCAGUGGCGGGCUCGCUGUCACACCGAGCGUAGUAGCAAUCACCUCGCUCAGGGCGUGCUGCGGGUUCCGGCCGUUAAACAGCCUUACAAAACCCAAGGUUGACCUCGGAUCAGGUGGGAAGACCCGCUGAACUUAAGC
rnacentral:misc_RNA from 1 species